UUCUGUCUUUGCCCCUCUGGACAAUCACCUUACCACUCUCACCGAAUCCAUUCAAUGCUUUCACCAUUCCGUUGCACUUACCUAAAUCAUUGAAUCCUUCACUUUCAACCAUUCACCUUCAACAAACAAUCCCAAAAUUUUCUUAUCUUCUUCCCUUUCUUUCAAUUAAAGCUUAUCUUCAGGCAUUUUUCCAGAAAGAAAAUUUUUCUUCUCCCAUCGAAUACAAAGAAAAAAAAAUACCUCCAUGUUUUGAAAAACCAUUACAAAAACAAAAAAAAAAAAAAUUGAUGCACCGUGUGGAUAUUUCGCGGAGGCGCCAGGUAGGAUGGUAGUGAUAUUCCCGACAGUAGUUAUUGCUAGGAAUAAGAAAGGAUCCAGUGUGACACGUGUUCUUGCAAAAUAUUGAUCGAAGGGUGAAGAAGGUUUUCGUUGAGGAGUUUUUGAGCACGAAGUACUUGGUGAAAAGCAUGGAGAAACUGGCAUUUCAAGAUUCCACCCAUUACUAACAUUAGGAGUCAUGAUUGUGCUCGAUUUUGGUAAAAUGCACUCCUUCAGUCUGUUGCUUUUAUUUUAUUUUUUUUUAAAUUUAAUUUAUUACUACUAUUAUUUAUAGGAUUUUUUUUAAUUUUAAAUUAUCAUCCCUUAAAAAAUAGGGAUAUCAUAAUCAUGAUAACUGAUAUACUUUAAAAUAAUUUUUGUUUUUACUGAGGCAACUAGGUUAGGGUUUUUCUUUUUUUUUUUUUAAUUACUACAGUAUUUUUAAAAUAAAAGUUGGCCUUUUUUUAUUGAUAGUGGAAGCUGAUUGAUGGAGUUGGAUAUGGUGAUCGUGGUUUUUUUUUUUUUUAUUUUCACUUAUUUUUGUACUAUUUGAAAUUGUAAUAUUUGACUUAAUGAAAUAUCAUUGUCCUGUCUGUCCGCAUUUGAUUGUUUACAUACACUAAAAAUCUCCAAUUUUUUGUGUGAAAAUUUAAUUUUUUGUAGCUUUAUAGUGUUAUGGUGGUAGAGUUGCAUUGGCAUCAACGCACAUAUAAAGGGAUUGGUUGCUGAUAAGUUUUGCGGUAAAAUGAUAGGAAUAGGAAAAGGAAGAGGAUAGGGGGCAAGAAUUAUUUUCUCAUAUGAAAAUGUAUAUGAAAUUUGGUGAACUUUAUCAUCCAAACAAUUUGCAAUCAUAAAUUAAUUUCUUAAUUUAUAUUGCAUCUCAAGUUGAUUCUUCAUUUUGGUUAUUUUUUUGAAAUAAAAAUUUUAUUUCUUACUUUGAAAGCUUCAAUCUUAGAAUUUAAUCCAUAUUGGAAUAAUGUCUACAUCUAAAAUUGUUUAGUGUUUCAGAAAGAAAAUUAUUAGUUUGCUUGGAACGCUGUGAUUUUCAGUUCAUUAAAGUUUGUUUCCUUUUAAUAUAAUUCUAUUUAUUUACCUUUCUACUAACCUUUUACUGACCUUUACAACUAAAAUUUGCUUUUGUGACAGUUUCAUAAGCAUUAUUGUAAUCUGCUUUCUUACUUUUCAGCCGAAUGAUAUGGAAUUAAAACAAAAAUUAAUACAUGGUGCCGCAAAGGAUGUAACUUUUGGGGUUUGGAGCAAGUUGUGGCAAUCAAAGUAAUAGCAGAUCAAUGUGCAUUCUAUAAUUACAGAUUUCUAGGGUGGCAGGAUACUCUUUACUUGCAUUACGGUAGAAUAUUUUUGCUAAAAGCAUACAGGUAAACUUGCUGCCAUAUUCAAUCAUAAAUGACAUAUUACAAGUACUGUUUUCACUUUAGGUGUGAAUAAAUGUUUUUAAUCUGCUUCAUGAAAUUUAUGAUUCCUCAUAAGAAGCCUAAAUAUGUUUUUUGCUUUUUUAGGUAAAUUAACAUAUAAAAGUGAUAUCUAUGCAUUUGGUGUUGUACUGCUGGAACUACUCUUAGGAAGAAAGCCUAUAGAAAAACUGGCACCAACCCAGUGCCAAUCUAUUGUCACAUGGGGCAACACGUGGGCAUUCCACUAGUACAUCAUAAAUCUUACUUUUCUUAGUGGGAAAUAUCAAAGAACUUUGAUUUAUACG